GAUGCUGCUGCUUGGCCUAGUAGUUAGAGCGUCCGCCUCUGAUGCGGGAGGUCGUGGGUUCGAUCCACGGCCUAGUCAUACCA